rnacentral:rRNA from 1 species
AGGACGAACGCUGGCGGCGUGCUUAACACAUGCAAGUCGAGCGGAAAGGCCCUUCGGGGUACUCGAGCGGCGAACGGGUGAGUAACACGUGAGCAACCUGCCCUUAGCUCCGGGAUAGCUCCGGGAAACCGGAAUUAAUACCGGAUAUGACCUAGGCCGACAUCGGCUGUGGUGGAAAGUUUUUCGGCUGGGGAUGGACUCGCGGCCUAUCGGCUUGUUGGUGGGGUAAUGGCCUACCAAGGCGACGACGGGUAGCCGGCCUGAGAGGGCGACCGGCCACACUGGGACUGAGACACGGCCCAGACUCCUACGGGAGGCAGCAGUGGGGAAUCUUGCGCAAUGGGCGAAAGCCUGACGCAGCGACGCCGCGUGGGGGAUGAAGGCCUUCGGGUUGUAAACCCCUUUCAGCAGGGACGAAGCGAAAGUGACGGUACCUGCAGAAGAAGCGCCGGCUAACUACGCGCCAGCAGCCGC